rnacentral:lncRNA from 1 species
AAAGCGGAUACCGGAUACCAAUAAAUGGAUUUACACCAGUCUCCUAAAACAGAAAUGGAUAUCAGAGGCCACUCAAUGGACUUAUACUAAUCUCCUUAACAAAGAAAUGAAAAGAAAGUGGAUACUGGAUGCCAAUCUGUCUGGACUUAUACCAAUCUCCAACAAAAGGGAGCAAACACUUGGAUGUCAGAUGCCAAUCUAUCUGGGCUUACUCUAAUCUCCAACACAUGAUCAUAGGAAUACAAAUGCCAAAUUACA